rnacentral:rRNA from 1 species
CCUACGGGUGGCAGCAGUGAGGAAUAUUGGUCAAUGGGCGCGAGCCUGAACCAGCCAAGUAGCGUGAAGGAUGACUGCCCUACGGGUUGUAAACUUCUUUUAUACAGGGAUAAAGUGAGGCACGUGUGCCUUUUUGUAUGUACUUUAUGAAUAAGGAUCGGCUAAUUCCGUGCCAGCAGCCGCGGUAAUACGGAGGAUCCGAGCGUUAUCCGGAUUUAUUGGGUUUAAAGGGAGCGUAGGUGGGUUGUUAAGUGAGUUGUGAAAGUCAGCGGCUCAACCGUAAAAUUGCAAUGGAUACUGGCAGGCUUGAGUACAGUGGAGGUAGGCGGAAUUCGUGGUGUAGCGGUGAAAUGCUUAGAUAUCACGAAGAACUCCGAUUGCGAAGGCAGCUUACUAAACUGCCACUGACAUUGAUGCUCGAAAGUGUGGGUAUCAAACAGGAUUAGAUACCCGUGUAGUC